rnacentral:snoRNA from 1 species
AACCCAAACCCUAGAAUCUGUGGGUCUAUGAAACCGUGAACUCAUAAGACUAUGAGGGAAGACUGAAGUUCUUCGUAAGAUACCAUAGUCACUCAAUAGGGAUAUGUUUUCCUGGGGAAUGGAAGA